GAAGAUUGAGGAAGGAGCAGCCAAGCUAAGGCCGAACUGCCCAAGGACCCUAAGUGAGUAAGUGGCUAAGUGAAGUUCCUAACCGGCUAAGCGCCAAGACCUUAACCGGUCGCCUAAGUCCUAACCGGCUAACCCCAUCUGCUUUGGUCUCCUUUCUUUCACGGUGAGAGUCGAGUUUUAUAGACUACAACUGCUAUUCGUUCUCAGUUCUUGCCUUCUCGAUUUCCUGAGACACUCCCCAUCCGGCAUCCGGCCAUCAGCAUUGCCCAAAGUGAAAAGUUCUCACCUUUAUGCUUCAGCUGGUCACCACUCCGACACGCCACAUUCCCCAUCGAGGCAUCGACCAUUGCAAAUCGAACCAUUUCUUUGUCCAGUUCUCACUUUUCACCUUCAGCCGAUCAGCACUCUAACACGUCGCACUUCCCAUCGAGGCAUCGACCAUUGCCAAUUGCACCAUUUCUUUGCCUAGUUCUCUCUUUUCACCUUCAGUCAGUCACCACUUUGGCACUCCUCAUCGACUAGCUACCUGCCUACUGUUUAGUGUCUACCUCUGCUCAAUGCUCACUACUCUGAGACUACUCGACCCACUCGAGUGACCCGACCCAUUUCUUCUUAUUUGUUGGAGAGCAAACAGUGGAGGCUUUACGGAUUUCAACUUUGGAGAUCGAUUCCUCUUCACCUUCGCCGGUGACAUAUGCCAAGCCCGACCUUAUAAAAUACUUUCCAUGUCAUUCAUAUGAUUGACAAUAUGCUUGCAUACUUGGAAAGCCCCAAAAGAAAAAUCGUUAAAAGACAACAAUGUACCAAAUUGUACAAUUAAGUUAAUUUAAG
rnacentral:lncRNA from 1 species